rnacentral:rRNA from 1 species
GACGAACGCUGGCGGCGUGCUUAACACAUGCAAGUCGAACGGAAAGGCCCUGCUUUUGUGGGGUGCUCGAGUGGCGAACGGGUGAGUAACACGUGAGUAACCUGCCCUUGACUUUGGGAUAACUUCAGGAAACUGGGGCUAAUACCGGAUAGGAGCUCCUGCUGCAUGGUGGGGGUUGGAAAGUUUCGGCGGUUGGGGAUGGACUCGCGCCUUAUCAGCUUGUUGGUGGGGUAGUGGCUUACCAAGGCUUUGACGGGUAGCCGGCCUGAGAGGGUGAGCGGCCACAUUGGGACUGAGAUACGGCCCAGACUCCUACGGGAGGCAGGGGUGGGGAAUAUUGCACAAUGGGAGGAAGCAUGAUGCAGCAACGCCGCGUGCGGGAUGACGGCCUUCGGGUUGUAAACCGCUUUCGCCUGUGACGAAGCGUGAGUGACGGUAAUGGGUAAAGAAGCACCGGCUAACUACGUG